rnacentral:rRNA from 1 species
UGGGGAAUAUUGCACAAUGGGCGCAAGCCGGAUGCAGCCAUGCCGCGUGUGUGAAGAAGGCCUUCGGGUUGUAAAGCACUUUCAGCGGGGAGGAAGGCGAUAAGGUUAAUAACCUUGUCGAUUGACGUUACCCGCAGAAGAAGCACCGGCUAACUACGUGCCAGCAGCCGCGGUAAUACGGAGGGUGCAAGCGUUAAUCGGAAUUACUGGGCGUAAAGCGCACGCAGGCGGUCUGUCAAGUCGGAUGUGAAAUCCCCGGGCUUAACCUGGGAACUGCAUUCGAAACUGGCAGGCUAGCGUCUUGUAGAGGGGGGUAGAAUUCCAGGUGUAGCGGUGAAAUGCGUAGAGAUCUGGCGGAAUCCCGGUGGCGAAGGCGGCCCCCUGGACAAAGACUGACGCUCAGGUGCGAAAGCGUGGGGAGCAAACAGG